rnacentral:rRNA from 1 species
UUGUCCAGGCAAAUCCGGAUAAUCAAGGCUGAGGUGUGAUGACGAGGCACUACGGUGCUGAAGUAACAAAUGCCCUGCUUCCAGGAAAAGCCUCUAAGCAUCAGGUAACAUCAAAUCGUACCCCAAACCGACACAGGUGGUCAGGUAGAGAAUACCAAGGCGCUUGAGAGAACUCGGGUGAAGGAACUAGGCAAAAUGGUGCCGUAACUUCGGGAGAAGGCACGCUGGUGUGUAGGUGAAGUCCCUGCGGAUGGAGCUGAGACCAGUCGAAGAUACCAGCUGGCUGCAACUGUUUAUUAAAAACACAGCACUGUGCAAACACGAAAGUGGACGUAUACGGUGUGACGCCUGCCCGGUGCCGGAAGGUUAAUUGAUGGGGUUAUCCGUAAGGAGAAGCUCUUGAUCGAAGCCCCGGUAAACGGCGGCCGUAACUAUAACGGUCCUAAGGUAGCGAAAUUCCUUGUCGGGUAAGUUCCGACCUGCACGAAUGGCGUAAUGAUGGCCAGGCUGUCUCCACCCGAGACUCAGUGAAAUUGAACUCGCUGUGAAGAUGCAGUGUACCCGCGGCAAGACGGAAAGACCCCGUGAACCUUUACUAUAGCUUGACACUGAACAUUGAGCCUUGAUGUGUAGGAUAGGUGGGAGGCUUUGAAGCGUGGACGCCAGUCUGCGUGGAGCCAACCUUGAAAUACCACCCUUUAAUGUUUGAUGUUCUAACGUUGGCCCCUUACCGGGGUUGCGGACAGUGUCUGGUGGGUAGUUUGACUGGGGCGGUCUCCUCCCAAAGCGUAACGGAGGAGCACGAAGGUUAGCUAAUCCUGGUCGGACAUCAGGAGGUUAGUGCAAUGGCAUAAGCUAGCUUGACUGCGAGCGUGACGGCGCGAGCAGGUGCGAAAGCAGGUCAUAGUGAUCCGGUGGUUCUGAAUGGAAGGGCCAUCGCUCAACGGAUAAAAGGUACUCCGGGGAUAACAGGCUGAUACCGCCCAAGAGUUCAUAUCGACGGCGGUGUUUGGCACCUCGAUGUCGGCUCAUCACAUCCUGGGGCUGAAGUAGGUCCCAAGGGUAUGGCUGUUCGCCAUUUAAAGUGGUACGCGAGCUGGGUUUAGAACGUCGUGAGACAGUUCGGUCCCUAUCUGCCGUGGGCGCUGGAGAAUUGAGGGGGGCUGCUCCUAGUACGAGAGGACCGGAGUGGACGCAUCACUGGUGUUCGGGUUGUCAUGCCAAUGGCACUGCCCGGUAGCUAAAUGCGGAAGAGAUAAGUGCUGAAAGCAUCUAAGCACGAAACUUGCCCCGAGAUGAGUUCUCCCUGAGACUUUAAGUCUCCUGAAGGAACGUUAAAGACGAUGACGUUGAUAGGCCGGGUGUGUAAGCGCAGCGAUGCGUUGAGCUAACCGGUACUAAUGAACCGUGAGGCUUAACCUUACAACGCCGAAG